rnacentral:rRNA from 1 species
GUGCAGCAGGCGAGAAUAGUCUACAAUGGACGAAAGUCUGAUAGUGCGACGCCGUGUGUGCGAUUAAUUCCUUCGGGAUGUAAAGCACUUUUCUAUGAGAUAAAAGCUCUUUAGGUUAAUAGCUUAUUGAGACGGAUAUUAUUAUAGGAAUAAGCUCCGGCUAACUCCGUGCCAGCAGCCGCGGUAAUACGGAAGGAGCGAGCGUUGUCCGGAUUUACUAGGCGUAAAGGGCUAGUAGGCGACUAAUUAAGUUAUAUGUUAAAUCCCACGGCUCAACUGUGGUCCUGCAUGUAAUACUGGUUAGAUAGAGUACUGUAGAGGAAGGCAGAAUCCUGGAGUAGCGGUGGAAUGCGCAGAUAUCAGGAAGAAUAACCAAAAGACGAAAGGCAGACCUUCUGGGCAGUUACUGACGCUGAAUAGCGAAGGUGUGGGUAGCGAACAGGAUUAGAUACCCCCGUAGU